GAUGAACGCUGGCGGCGUGCCUAAUACAUGCAAGUCGAGCGAACAGACGAGGAGCCUGCUCCUCUGACGUUAGCGGCGGACGGGUGAGUAACACGUGGAUAACCUACCUAUAAGACUGGGAUAACUUCGGGAAACCGGAGCUAAUACCGGAUAAUAUAUUGAACCGCAUGGUUCAAUAGUGAAAGACGGUUUUGCUGUUACUUCUAGAUGGAUCCGCGCCGCAUUAGCUAGUUGGUAAGGUAACGGCUUACCAAGGCAACGAUGCGUAGCCGACCUGAGAGGGUGAUCGGCCACACUGGAACUGAGACACGGUCCAGACUCCUACGGGAGGCAGCAGUAGGGAAUCUUCCGCAAUGGGCGAAAGCCUGACGGAGCAACGCCGCGUGAGUGAUGAAGGUCUUCGGAUCGUAAAACUCUGUUAUUAGGGAAGAACAAAUGUGUAAGUAACUAUGCACGUCUUGACGGUACCUAAUCAGAAAGCCACGGCUAACUACGUG
rnacentral:rRNA from 1 species